rnacentral:rRNA from 1 species
CCCUUAGAUGUUCUGGGCCGCACGCGCGCUACACUGAGCCCUUCAUCGAGUUUACAACCUUGGCCGGUAGGUCUGGGUAAUCUUCUCAAAGGGGCUCGUGCUGGGGAUAGAUUAUUGUAAUUUUUAAUCUUCAACGAGGAAUUCCUAGUAAACGCAAGUCAACAGCUUGCAUUGAUUACGUCCCUGCCCUUUGUACACACCGCCCGUCGCUACUACCGAUUGAAUGGCUUAGUGAGCCCGAGGGACUGUUGCACCUAGAGGGUUUUCUCUCCAGGAGCAGCCGGGAACUCGGUCAAACUUGAUCAUUUAGAGGAAGUAAAAGUCGUGACA